ACUUGUGUGUUAUAUAAACUAAAGGUAUCGGAUCCCAUCUGAUCUUAAAAGCUCAGCUGGGUAAAUCCUAGUUAAUACUUGGAUGGGAGAUUGCCAAUGAAUACUAGGUGCUAUAGGCU
rnacentral:rRNA from 11 species